GCUGUUGCAAUCAGCCUUGCGCGGCGUCGAUCAUCGCGGGCUCGCGCCGGGUGCACUCGGCGCCGCUCAGGCCAGCAUCAGUUUCGGCGGCGGGAUAAAGGCCCGGGGAACGUGGGUGGCUUCGGCCUCCGUUAUAGCACCGGGUGCCAUGCCGCCCGCCGGGACUGAGGACCGCGCUUCGGCUAGGAUGCUGGCGUAAUGGUUGCAAGCGAACCGUCUUGAAACACGGACCAAGGAGUAGAACAACUGUGCGAGUGUUUGGGCGAUCAAACCCAUACGCGCAAUGAAAGUGAAUGGAGGUGAGAGAAUUCAGGGUGCAUCAUCGACCGGUCCUGAUGUAUUCGGAUGGAUCUGAGUAAGAGCAUAA
rnacentral:rRNA from 1 species